GAUGAACGCUGGCGGCGUGCAUAACACAUUCGAGUCGAACGGUGACGGGGCUUCGGCCCCUGAUCAGUGGCGGACGGGUGAGUAACGCGCGAGCAAUCUGCCUCUGUGUGCGGGAUAACAGCCGGAAACAGCUGCUAAUACCGCAUAACGUAUACGGGCCGCAUGACCUGUAUACCAAAGGUUUACUGCACAGAGAUGAGCUUGCGUCUGAUUAGAUAGUUGGCGGGGUAACGGCCCACCAAGUCGACGAUCAGUGGCCGGACUGAGAGGUUGAACGGCCACAUUGGAACUGAGAAACGGUCCAGACUCCUACGGGAGGCAGCAGUGGGGAAUAUUGGGCAAUGGGCGAAAGCCUGACCCAGCGACGCCGCGUGAGGGAAGACGGUCUUCGGAUUGUAAACCUUUGUCAACAGGGACGAACAAAUGACGGUACCUGUGGAGGAAGCCACGGCUAACUACGUGCCAGCCGCCGCGGUAAUAC
rnacentral:rRNA from 1 species